rnacentral:misc_RNA from 1 species
UUUCCGUAGGUGAACCUGCGGAAGGAUCAUUAUUGAAACUUGAAUCGUAGCAUGUAAGACUGUUGCUGACCUGUUAAAGGGUAUGUGCACGUUCGACGUGUUGCGUUCUAUUCAUCCACCUGUGCACCUUUGUAGACUUGAUUAACUUUCGCUCUCGAGCGGUUAGAAGGGUUGCGUUCGAGCUCCCUUUGUCUAUCAAGUCUAUGUCUAUAUAAUCUCUUGUAUGUCUAGAAUGUCCUGUUUAUGUGUCGCAAGCCCUUUAAAUCUUAUACAACUUUCAACAACGGAUCUCUUGGCUCUG